GCCAAAACCGCACGUGUCUCCGUCUCCCACUCCCCCCACCUGGCGUACAGCGGGUGCGUCACUUCUGGGGCCCGCUGAGGUGGGAAGCGCUGGGCAUGAGGCAGAGCCAGGAGGAGAGGAGUAGAAGAAGCUGGGACAUCGACACUUGAGCUCCCUCUUUGACCCAUGCUGCCAGCAGCCACUUAUCCAGGUAUGGGAAGACAAGGAUUCCCCGAUGUUGAAGAAAACACAGCACUAAAAAUGAGAGGUCAGCAGAAGCGCCAUCUUGGACCAUGUGGCAGUGAGAAGAAACUGGAGAUGCUGUCAGUCUUCCCCGCUCUUUACUGCCUCAGGUGAAACCACGAGGCAAUAUAAGAGCACAUGUGCAGACUACCGAGAAAUACAACUUUGAAAAGG